CAAUAGCGUAUAUUAAAGUUGUUGCGGUAAAAAAGCUCGUAGUUGGAUUUCUGUUGAGAGCGACGGUCCGUACCAUGUAUGCGUAUCUGGCUUGCUCUCGGCAUCCUCUCGAUAGACGUUACUGCGCUUGAUUGCGUGGUGCGGAUCUCGGGACUUUUACUUUGAGGAAAUUAGAGUGUUCACGGCAGGCUUUCGCCAGAAUACAUUAGCAUGGAAUAAUACUAUAGGAUCUUGGUUCUAUUUUGUUGGUUUCUAGAAUUGAGAUAAUGAUUAAUAGGGACAAUUGGGGGCAUUCGUAUCAACACGUCAGAGGUGGAAUUCUUGGAUUGUGUUGCGACGAACUACUGCGAAAGCAUUUGCCAAGGAUGUUUUCAUUGA
rnacentral:rRNA from 1 species